CGGCAGACGGGUGAGUAACGCGUGGGAAUCUACCUAUCACUACGGAACAACUCCGGGAAACUGGAGCUAAUACCGUAUACGUCCUUUUGGAGAAAGAUUUAUCGGUGAUGGAUGAGCCCGCGUUGGAUUAGCUAGUUGGUGGGGUAAUGGCCUACCAAGGCGACGAUCCAUAGCUGGUCUGAGAGGAUGAUCAGCCACACUGGGACUGAGACACGGCCCAGACUCCUACGGGAGGCAGCAGUGGGGAAUAUUGGACAAUGGGCGCAAGCCUGAUCCAGCCAUGCCGCGUGAGUGAUGAAGGCCCUAGGGUUGUAAAGCUCUUUCAACGGUGAAGAUAAUGACGGUAACCGUAGAAGAAGCCCCGGCUAACUUCGUGCCAGCAGCCGCGGUAAUACGAAGGGGGCUAGCGUUGUUCGGAUUUACUGGGCGUAAAGCGCACGUAGGCGGAUUGUUAAGUUAGGGGUGAAAUCCCAGGGCUCAACCCUGGAACUGCCUUUAAUACUGGCAAUCUCGAGUCCGGAAGAGGUGAGUGGAAUUCCGAGUGUAGAGGUGAAAUUCGUAGAUAUUCGGAGGAACACCAGUGGCGAAGGCGGCUC
rnacentral:rRNA from 1 species